rnacentral:lncRNA from 1 species
AGCCACAGCACACAGGGAAUAAACAAGGUGCAUAUUCUCAGCUUCUAAGAGUCCCUUUCCUAAAGAAGAAAGAGUUGAUUGAAGAUUGGAUAAGCAUGUAUGUGCGCA